rnacentral:rRNA from 1 species
GACGAACGCUGGCGGCGUGCCUAAUACAUGCAAGUAGGACGCAGUUGCGAACGGGUGAGUAACGCGUAGGUAACUGCCUAUUAGAGGGGGAUAACUAUUGGAAACGAUAGCUAAUACCGCAUACUAGUAGAUGGACCUGCGUUGUAUUAGCUAGUAGGUAGGGUAAUGGCCUACCUAGGCACAGCUACAUAGCCGACCUGAGAGGGUGAUCGGCCACACUGGGACUGGGGCACGUCCCAAGCUCCUACGGGAGGGAGCAGUAGGGAAUCUUCGGCAAUGGGGGGAAACCUUACCGAGCAACGCCGCGGGAGUGAAGAAGGUUUUCGGAUCGUAAAGCUCUGUUGUUAAGGAAGCGGUACUUAACCAGAAAGGGACGGCUAACUACGUGCCAGCAGCCGCGGUAAUAC